UCGAUAUCGCUAUGACAAUUGCUAACAAUUUGAUAUCUACUCUUUCGUGCUGAGAAACAAACUAAACACCUACAAAUGUGCAAGUAACAUUUCAAUAAGUAAUAAAUUAGUUACUGAACAGUAAAUUGAAAUAUAUUUGUUAUUUCAUAAGUGUACGUAACGCAAUAUAAUAAUGGCAACAGCAAUACAGGAUCGUACUAUUCCCACUAUGGAUACUUUGGUCAAAUAUGACAACCCGAUUUUGGAUACUAUUCGGCCAGAAAAGAUACGUAAAGAGACAGCACCAAAAAUUGGUGCAACAGUUUGUAAAGUUCAAACGACUCCUCUUACGGUUGAUAUGCGACGCGAGACUGCCGAUAUUCUGAAUAGGAUUUUGCCUCCAAAACAAUGGGAAGAAGAUGGUCAAACAUGGAUUCAACAAGUGUCGAGUACGCCAGCAACAAGGCUCGAUGUUAUUAAUUUGCAAGAGCAACUUGAUAUGAGACUACAACAACGGCAAGCAAGAGAAACUGGUAUUUGUCCAGUACGCAGGGAACUUUACACGCAAUGUUUUGAUGAAAUAAUACGUCAGGUAACUGUAAAUUGCUCUGAACGUGGUUUACUUUUGCUUAGAGUUCGAGAUGAACUCAAAAUGACAUUAUCCGCAUAUCAGAUUUUGUAUCAAAGUAGUAUUGCUUUCGGUAUGCGCAAAGCUCUACAAGCCGAACAAGGAAAAGAGGAUUUAAUUGCUACCGCGGAUGAGCUGCAGUUGCAAAAAAGUGACCUAGAGAAGACUGUUGCCGAAUUGAAGCAGAAAUUUGAACAGGCGCAAAAAAGAGCAGCUGAAUUAAGAGAAGCUGAGGAGAAGAAACAUAUGGAAGAAAUUCAAUUUCUUAGAAAAACAAAUCAACAGUUAAAGACACAACUAGAAGAGACAUCGUUAGAUCACAUAGUUACUGAUACUGGUAUGGUCGAUGCAAGCAUAUUCUUUGAAUGCUUACAUCAGCUGCUUUAUCCGAUUCAGGAGAAAGAGUGACGGUAUCUACAGAGUCCUGUAUCGCAUCCGCUUUAUUCGUACUGUCCAUCAUUUCGCUCAUUUUUUUUAUUACUAUUUGCGCUUGGAGAGCAUCCUAAAUGUGAACGUAGAUUUCAAACGUGCCUGUCUCCAUGCUGCACGCUUUUCAGCUCUUAGUACUCUCUGCUCGGCAGGACUCAGAUGACUUUCUUCAUCUUCAUCCGAAAUUAUACCCUAUGAACGAAGAGAAAUAUUUGAUAAAAAUUGAAGUUUGCAUCAAAAUUUCAUUUAAUAAUUUAAAUCAAAACAAUCUUCUUUAUUUCUUAUAUUCGCAUUGAAUCAUUUCAAUCGAUUAUUAACAUUUCAACAAAAAUUUAUAUUCCUCAUCUCUUUCGGACUUGAUAACAAAUAUUAUGAUACUUAAAUUUGCCUAAUUUUUUCCGGAUUGAUUUAGAGUACGUGAUCGAUAUAAAUAUAAAAUUAAUUGCAAUGAUUAAAAAGAUUCAAUAAA